CGCACUGCCGACCGAGCAAGGAAGAGGUCAUAAUAAUGAUCGCAGCCUGAGACUGAAUCUCUGACUGAGACAUACGAACACACAGGCAACAUGGAGCGGCUGCAGCAGGACUCGGAGGACUCAGAGCCAGGCCUGAGCUUUAGAAACUCUUGAAAGGCAAGAAGAAGAGUUAGAAGACAGACAUGCAGGCACCUCAGAAUGAAAGGGGCAAGAGUAUGUGCAACUGUAACUUCUCACGUCUACUUAGAAGAAAAGAUAAAAGCACAGCUGCAUGGGCCACAGUUUUAGAGUACAGCGUGACUCAUCUGAUGGCAAAUUUACCAGGGGAAGAAAGAGGAGAAACAGAAGAAUAAUUUUCUUCCGGAAGAUCAGAAGUCUGGAUUAGCUGCUGUUCCUUCUGUGCUCACAGCAGAUAGCAAGUAUUUCCCUUUAUUUUAGAAAAAUUAACUCAUUUGAAGGAAGCUCACAAUUAUCACAGAAACGAGUACUUAGGAGAUACAGUCACAGCUACAGGAGAACAGUGCAGGUGGGAAAUAUCAGUAGCUGGAGAGAGAGAUGGUAGAAGACAGAAGGCUGGCAGUAGCCAAUGGGACUGAGGCAGCUGGAUCUGUUAUUAGCAGAAUUUUGAUGGGCUGUUUAACAGUGCAUACUAGAAAAUAUUUUGGCAAACCCUAUGAAAGCAUCCUCCUUUCCAACUAAUGAUUUCUUCAAACAUUAUUUCAUCAGUGCUCCUUCAGUUGUAAAGGAGACCACACAGGCAGCAGGUAAAGGGGAAAUGCCUUCAAGAGCACCUUCUUCUAUAUGUUCCCAGUCGCACAUUGAGGUCAUCUGGAGAGGUCCGUCUCCUAUUACCACCAGUACGUCUGGUUGCGAAUUGGAACCGGACCUUCUCUGUAGCUGCUCCUGGCCUGUGGUAUGCACUCCCAGCAGAUAUCCUCAGUUUAGGCUUGCUGUUGGCCUUUAAGUGAGCCCUUAAGACUUACUUGUUUGGCCUGGCUUUCCAUGGUUUUAAAAUUGUUUUUUUAGUAUUUUAAUUGGUUUUAAAUUGUAUUAAAAUUGUUUUUAUAUUGUU